rnacentral:rRNA from 1 species
UACGUAGGUGGCAAGCGUUGUCCGGAUUUAUUGGGCGUAAAGCGCGCGCAGGCGGUUUCUUAAGUCUGAUGUGAAAGCCCUCGGCUUAACCGAGGAGGGUCAUUGGAAACUGGGAGACUUGAGUGCAGAAGAGGAAAGUGGAAUUCCAAGUGUAGCGGUGAAAUGCGUAGAGAUUUGGAGGAACACCAGUGGCGAAGGCGACUUCUGGUCUGUAACUGACGCUGAGGCGCGAAAAGCGUGGGGAGCAAACAGG